rnacentral:tRNA from 1 species
CGGGGCGUAGCGCAGCCCGGCAGCGCACCGGCUUUGGGAGCCGGGGGUCGUCGGUUCGAAUCCGACCGCCCCGA